rnacentral:rRNA from 1 species
UACGUAGGUGGCAAGCGUUGUCCGGAUUUAUUGGGUUUAAAGGGUGCGUAGGCGGCCUAUUAAGUCAGUGCUGAAAUAUCCCGGCUUAACCGGGAGGGUGGCAUUGAUACUGAUGGGCUUGAGUAGAGUCGAGGUGGGCGGAAUUGACGGUGUAGCGGUGAAAUGCUUAGAUAUCGUCAAGAACACCGAUAGUGUAGACAGUUCACUAGGCUCAAACUGACGCUGAGGCACGAAAGUGUGGGGAUCAAAC